GAAAGGCAGCCGGAGGGGAGGGCAGAAUGGAAAGUUACAAGUUGGGUUCCCCCAACUCAUCUGACCAAUAGAAUAAACCUCGUAGGUGCCAAAAGGCACAAGAAAACAAAGGGAGGUGGGGACAACUAAAGGUACUGGUUCCUUGAAUAACCCAACAGGAGACAGUAAAACCCAGGACACUUUCAGGAAUACCCUAUACCCCUUGGUUCUCAGCCAAGGAGGUCCUGGGGGAGGGACCCUGGGCUCUAGGGGUCAGAAGGCUGGCUGUCCCCAGUCUGGGUGUGCCUGCUCCCCCCACCCCCCAGCCAGCUCUCGCAAGACGCCAGAUCUUGACCUUGCAGGUCCUGUUAAAGCCAAGCCUGGCUCUGCUCCGCCUAAGUCUCUUGGUUCACUCUCGGGAUGUGGACAGGUGUUCUCACAGCAGGGUGUGAGCGAACGUGCGUUCCCUUCUUCCCUGCUCCCAUCUUGCCUGCUGGUUGCUGGUCUUGGAAGCAGGAACAAGACCUGGCUCUUCCCUGGAAUUUCGGAGACAGGCAUCAGUGUGUCGGGACCAAGAAACUUCCCUUGAAAGGACAUUCAUUGUGAGGAAUGAGUCCUUGUGGUUACAGAGCCACCGCCUCAGUGCCUGUGUGCUGCUGUGAGGAGUACCACAGAUCGGGUGGAGCCAACAACGGGAAUUGGUCCUCAGUUCUGGAGGUUGCCAGGUCAAGGUCAAGGUGUCAGUCGGUGACUCCUCCUGAGGGCUGUGGGGAGGGUCUGCUCUGGGAUCUGCCCUGGCUCUGCAGGCUUGCAGAUUCCUGGGGGAGCGUCCCCCUGGCCCUGCCACCACCUCAGGACACCCCCUCUGUGGCCGGCCAUGGCCCCAGUUUUAUAAAGACCCAUCAUACUGGGUUAAGGGUCACCUGAAUGACCUCACUGUCACCUCUGUAAGGCCAUCUCCGCAUAAGCUCACAUUCUGAGGAGCGAGGUGGCCACAAGGCCCACUUUCCUUUUGAAAGAGGACAAAAGUCAACCGGUAACUCCUCUGUGGUCCCUUGUCCCAGGCAGGGGCCAUCUUCAGAAACAAGUCAGGGCUCACCGGCCCCCUUCCUGACUCCCCCAGGACACCCCCCUGCUCCAGGAGAGGUGGAGCCCCUGGUCCCUGGCUGGUGUACAGAAGCCCCCACGRCGCCCUCUUCUCCCUCCCUCUGCUGGCCUUUGAUGUGCUCCUCAGACACAUCAUGCCCCUUCUACCUUCAAGUCUCCACAGAAGCUCUUUGUUCUUUUUUUAGGGAACUGUCUCCUGAUCUGUCUGUCUGGCCACUUCCUGUGGUUCAGGUCUUUCAGAAAUGUCACUGCYGCAGGGGGCCACUUUGACCACGAGAUCAAAACCAGAGUCUCGUCCUUCCCCGGUGCACCAGCCCAGUGCAGUUCUCUCCACGGCCCUUGUCGCCGCGGGCCUUUCUACUUACUCGUUUUGUUUCCGUCUUCCACCCAACCCCCUGGGAACCUCAGCUCCAGGUGAGCAGGGACUCGUCUGUCAGGUUCCUUUUUAGAUCCCCCGUGUUGGAAGAGUCCUUGGCAGGUGGGUGGCACUCAGUAGAUACCAACCACAUGAGCGUGUGAGUAACUGACAGGAGCAGUGUGCRCUCCCUUUUUGGCUAACUUAGGAAGAGGUAGAUCUUGUGGGUCAAGUUUUCUCGGCACGUCUUCGUGCUGCCCUGUGUGCCAGGGUGUUCACUAGAAUCCCUGACCUUCACCCACGAGAUUCCUGUCCCCACCCCCWCCACCCCCACUGAGGGCCAUCCACAGCCUGUGUGACUGAUCACACCCACCUCUCCAGGCCAAGAGGAUGGUGACCCCCAGGGGGGCCUGACCUGGAC
rnacentral:lncRNA from 1 species